AGUGGGAUAGCUGGGUUGAAUGGUGGUUCCAUUCCAAGUUUUCUAAGAAAUCUCCAUACUGCUUUCCAUAUUGGCUGUACCAAUUUGCAGUCCCACCAGCAAA
rnacentral:pre_miRNA from 1 species